UUACGGCCAUAUCACGUUGAAACACCGAUUCUCUUACGAUCACCGAAGUUAAGAAACCUCAAGUCUGGUUAGUACCUAGAUGGGUAACCGUUUGGUAAAUCCAGGGGCU